ACCGCCUACUUUUCUACCGAUUCCAAUUUGAGUUUAGAGAACGAUGGGUCAAGUUGAAAGCGUCGCCGCCGUAUCGUCUCCGAACGAUCUACCACAAAGCCGGAAUUCAUCCGCAAAUCCCGUCUCCUCCGGUUCCUCUCCCCGUCCUCCCUCCAUGGAGUCUCUGAUUGCAGAAGCUGCAGCUUAUGGUAAUGAAACAAAUGAGUCUCUUGAUGCCAAAGCUAACAGAGCGUUAGAGUGCCCCUGCAUAGCUGACCUACGUAAAGGUCCAUGUGGGGUCCAGUUUUCUGAUGCUUUUCUUUGCUUCUUUAAGAGUACUGCCGAGGAAAAGGGAUCGGACUGCGUGCAUCCUUUUGUGGCUUUGCAGAGCUGCAUAAAAGCAAAUCCAAAUGCGUUCUCGAAGGAUAUCUUGGACGAUGAAGAUGAAGAAGAGAAGGAAAGGGAAAAAGAAAAGGCUGAAAAGCCAACUCAAGAUUACAGAGUCAUUCCUCCUUCAUGGUCUAGAGAACCUCAAAUUCCCAAGUCCAAGCUUUAGCCCAAACCUCCAUUUUGUCUAUCCUGGUCACUUAUUUUUGAGGUUUCAAGAAUCAAUUUGUGCAAUAAGUUGAUCCAAGACAGUAGGAUCUGCAAGUGUUGAGCUCAUUUGCCCAAUGUAUUUUAUCAGGUGCUGCAAAUGCUCCAAUCUGAAAGCUUUCUCGGAGCUCUUCACUUUGAGGAACUCCUUCAACUAGCGUAACAAAUGCACGAAUACUCUGCCCCUUAACCUGAAGACGAGAGAGGUUAAAUUAUAAAAUUCAGUCCCUACACUUUGAUUUAUAUCCUCUGUUAGUUCCUGUUUUUAAGAGCGUCUAUCGAACCAAUGUUAGUUGAUCCAAUACGACAUAAUAAAGAUCACAAAUGGCACAAAGAAGUUGAAACUUGAAUCAAGUAGAAAUAGUUGUGACCUCA